CACGCUCCGGGAUGGGCUCAGAUAGGCUGUUCAGUUUGAACGCUUUCCAUUUCCAAAGUCACCUCAUAGUCCAAUAUGGCUGCAGGAGUUCCAGCCAGCACUUCUGAAAUCUAGUAAGUACUUAGAAGGCGGGGGAAGGCAAAAAGACUCACACCCCAGCUGAAUCAGCUCCUUUAAAGCAGCCUUCCAGGAAAUCCCCCUCAACACUCCUGCUUAUAUCACAGUCACCUAGUCACAACUAACAGCAAAGGAGGUUGGGAAAUGCAGUCUUUUAGCUGACUGGACACAUUGCUAUCCUGAAUGAAAUGUACUGUUUUUAAGGAAAAACAGAGAACGGAUAAUUUUGUAGGCAGCUGCCAGCCCCUACUUCAGAGGCAAAUCCAUUGUCUGGAUUGUGCAGGCUGAAUGGCUCGGCACAGCGUGGGAGCCACAAGGAGGAAGCAGAAGUGAGAAACCAGGCUCUCCCUCGCCCUCGCCCUCGCCCUCUCCCUCUCCCUCUCCCUCGCCCUCUCCCUCUCCCUCCUCGCCCUCUCCCUCUCCCUCUCCCCACGGUCUCCCUCUCCCUCUCUUUCCAUGGUCUCCCUCUGAUGCCGAGCCGAAGCUGGACUGUACUGCUGCCAUCUCGGCUCACUGCAACCUCCCUGCCU
rnacentral:lncRNA from 10 species